rnacentral:rRNA from 1 species
CAGCAGCCGCCGCGGGAAUACGUAGGUGGCAAGCGUUGUCCGGAAUUGUUGGGCGUAAAGCGCGCGCAGGCGGAUCAGUUAGUCUGUCUUAAAAGUUCGGGGCUUAACCCCGUGAUGGGAUGGAAACUGCUGAUCUAGAGUAUCGGAGAGGAAAGUGGAAUUCCUAGUGUAGCGGUGAAAUGCGUAGAUGUUAGGAAGAACACCAGUGGCGAAGGCGACUUUCUGGACGAAAACUGACGCUGAGGCGCGAAAGCCAGGGGAGCGAACGGGAUUAGAUACCCGCGUAGUCCCUGUCUCUUAUACC